rnacentral:rRNA from 1 species
CUACGGGAUGCUCCAGUUAGGAAUAAUCUACAAUGCGCGAAAGCGUGAUAGUUUGAGCCAGAGUGCUUUCCAAACUGGAAAGCUUUUGUGAAAUAUAAAAAGUUUCACGAAUAAGGACUGGGUAAGACUAGUGCCAGCCGCCGCGGUAAUACUAGCGGUCCAAGUCGCAGCCAUUUUUAUUGGGUCUAAAACAUCCGCAGCUUGCUUAAUAAGUUUCCUGUGAAAUCUUAUGUCUUCAGCAUAAGGCGUGCAGGAAGUACUGUGAAGCUAGAGACUGGAAGGCGUAGGAAGUACGAUCAAAGUAGCGGUAAAAUGUGUUAAUCUUGAUCGGACUCACAACAGCGAAGGCAUCCUACGAGGACAGUUCUGACAGUAAGGGAUGAAAGCUAGGGGCGCAAAACGGAUUAGAUACCCCAGUAGUC